AAAGCAGAAAGAGGUUUUCUAAAUGUGUGCCUUUCCCCCCCCCCCCCCCCGAUUUCCAUAGGGUCUGGCAUCCAGUAUUUACAUGAAAACAGAAUCAUCCAUAGAGACCUUAAACCAGAAAAUAUUGUCCUCCAGGAUGAAGCCGGGAAGGUCAUCUACAAGAUCAUCGACCUGGGAUACGCCAAGGACCUGGACCAAGGGAGCCUGUGCACGUCCUUCGUGGGGACCCUGCAGUACUUGGCCCCCGAACUCUUUGAGAACAGCCCCUACAGCAAGACGGUGGACUUCUGGAGCCUGGGGACAGUCGUCUUCGAGUGCAUCACGGGGUUCAGGCCGUUCCUGCACAACCAGCAGCCCUUCGCCUGGUGGGUCUCCCUGCCUCCGGGGACGCUGGGGGCCUUUGGCUUUCGCCAAAGAGCCGCU
rnacentral:lncRNA from 1 species